rnacentral:rRNA from 1 species
GAUCAUAGCUCAGAUUGAACGCUGGCGGCAGGCCUAACACAUGCAAGUCGAACGGUAACAGGAAGAAGCUUGCUUCUUUGCUGACGAGUGGCGGACGGGUGAGUAAUGUCUGGGAAACUGCCUGAUGGAGGGGGAUAACUACUGGAAACGGUAGCUAAUACCGCAUAACGUCGCAAAACCAAAGAGGGGGACCUUCGGCCGUCUUGUCCACUCGGAUGUGCCCACGAUGGGAGUUAGCUAGUAGGUGGGGUAACGGG